UGCCUUUGUGUUGCCCUUUCAUUGCGUUCUCCAUGAACAGGGUGUCGACUAAGGCAUACAGUGAUUCUUGUGGUGGUGACAGAAAUUCAUCAACCUGUAUUGAUGAAUUUGUAAACUGCAAGCACAAGG
rnacentral:snoRNA from 1 species